rnacentral:rRNA from 1 species
UACAGAGGUGGCAAGCGUUGUUCGGAAUUACUGGGCGUAAAGGGCGCGUAGGCGGGCCCGUAUGUCGAUUGUGAAAGCCCUGGGCUUAACCCGGGAAUGGCAGUCGAAACUGCGGGUCUUGAGUGCCUGAGAGGAUGGCGGAAUUCCCGGUGUAGAAGUGAAAUUCGUAGAUAUCGGGAAGAACACCUGAGGCGAAGGCGGCUAUCUGGCGGUGCACUGACGCUGAGGCGCGAAAGCGUGGGGAGCAAACAGG